rnacentral:lncRNA from 1 species
GUAUAAUCUACACUUUUGCAGACAAUAAAGUUCUUUCAGCGCACUUUGUAAGCUGGCAAAAUGCACAGAAAUGGCAUUAUCACGUUGCACACAGCUAAUUUGCAAGCAAAGGACGAGGAGGUGGAAUAUAGCCAUAGACGGGAACGGGGUACAAAAAGAUCGGCCAAAGAGAAAAGAAAACUGAAUUAUAUUUGCACAAU